CCUCGCUCAUCCCUGCCCUCUGGUCUCCUCUUCGUCGCCUCCACCCCCGGACCACGUCAUGCCGCUCCCUGCAGGUCCCCAGGCCCCAUCUCCUCCUCACCUGAUCCCUCGCCGUCCUGCUCUUCUCCCUGACAAUGGCCUCCAUUCGCUUCCGUGCGGGCGCGUUCUCCGGCGUCUUUGAGGCACAGGCACAUCUUCCUCUUCUUCGUUGUUCGUCGCCUACAGAUGGCCGGCGGCGCCGGUUGGCCCCGGGGCCGACGCGGCGGAUCGCUUCCUGCCGGGUGACGUAGCCGCCGGUCUCCCAUGGGGAGCUUCUCCAUGGCCAAGGUCUUCCUCCAUAUCUGCAUCAGCAGCUCCUCUGUUUAGGAGCCCACCACCACCGCAUCAGAGCCGCACAAGGAGGCCGAGGACGGGGCGCCGGGCACAGAGGUGCCCAGUUGAGGUGGCCGACGCGGUCAAGAGGUCAGUGUGGGAUCAGGCGAGGCCGGGAGCACGUACGGCCUACCGGAGUCGAUGCACCUGCUCAACAUCAACAUCAGAGGGAGGAGGCCAGCAACUACCAGUGGACGCGCAGGCAGCAGUGGAUGCUCACGUGUGGUUUUGAACUGCGCGAGCAUGGCCGUCAGAUGGGAGCUGCUUCAGAAAGAGCAUGGACAGUAUGCGGAAGAGGGCGAGGUGCGGCGCCAUGGCAGAAUCUCUGCACUAUGACUAUAUAUCCCUUCUUUUAUUCUUCGUUAGUGUCUUCUCUGUUUGCUAAUUUCUGGAUUUAUUGAUUGAUGUUAUCUGCUCAGGUUCUUCUUGUGGAUUCAUAAAUGUUGUUUCCAUGUGAACAUAUGGUUGCAAACAACCUUGAUAGCAGUACUAGAUUGAUGUGUUAUAACAAAAACUGCUAGACCAUUUUUUGGCCUUCUACUUUGUAGAUGUGAGCAUAUUUGAAAAAUAAAUGAAAAUUGGAGGAGACCAUCUUCCACUCAUUAUUUUACUUGGUAUACUGUUGUUUGCAUGACUGCUCCAGAUCUAUUUGUACACCAAUUAGGAUCUUAUUUGGAGACCCAUUAAAUCCUAUGAAGCAUAAUUUAUUAAAGCAUAUACUUCUUAGUACCAGCCUGACUAUUCAAGUUCCCUUAAUUUCUUACUUGGAAGGACUUAUUAAUGCCUUGCUUCCUGGCAACAGUUCAAUAGGGCUGCUCUUUUGCUUUCUGGUUCUGUCUUGCGGCUACCAUGGGACAAGUGAUAUCUCAGAUGGUGGGUUUUUCAGUUCUUGGUGCAUGUGCGUUUGAAUUCGCAGGUUUACAAUUAGUUUUGGGAAAUAAACAUAGAUUAUGCCCAUUGUGUUGUUUUACUCAAAGGAUACUUUUAUAUCUUCUCUUCUUUCAGUUAAGUGCUAUGAGUGUUUGGUCAGCGUAAUGAUUCUGAGUGUUUCAGUAUUUCAUUCUCAAUGGAAUGUAUGCAUUACCUGGGCUGCCAGUCGAGGUAUCUAGGCUUGGGAGAUGUAUAUGUAGAUAAGGGGAUGUGGCGAUGGCCAUCCGCCUAGCCUGGUGAGUUGUGGCUUGGGAGAUGUAUAUGUCGGAAAGAGGUUACCAAAGGUUGCGUGUGGCUGCAGCAAACUUAUCUUUGUUCUUCUCCCAUUUCAUUCGCUUGCCUCAUAUUUCUGUCUGCAAUAUUUAUCUGAUAUGUUGAUGUGUGAUUUCUUCCUUCUGAGUAUAACCUGAAACUAAUCCGGCAUAUGGCGAGGGUUUUGGUUUAGAUUGAUUUGCUUCACUUACUGGAAUCACGUGCCUUCUUUUUUCAUGCCAUUCUUUGGUUUAAUGUCAGUUUACAUAGUUUACACUCCAUAAUUUUACAUUAAUUCCUAAUACAUUCAUAAUCCGUAUAUUUUGCCCCUCACUUGCACUACACCUUCAUGAUUGUAUUCUUCUAUGAAUACAGAGUGCUACCACAAAAAUGGAUGAUUGGAAAAAGAAAGUGCAUUGGUCUGCUUUUCAUAAGAAAUCAUGAGAAAAUGUUGUAUGUAACUAGAAAAGGUGUAAGAAAUAAACUGAGUGGAAAAACUUUACGGAAGGUCCAUAAUUUUUAAUUGUCACUGUUUAAAUUAGAUUUGUCUAAUUUCCCUUUAUAAAACAAAGGUGCAGAGAAGCAAAUGGAGGGAGUCUGCAACUGAUCAUCUAUGGGGCUAGCUACUCCUUGGCGUGGCUUCAGUUGUCCGCGGGAAUCUGCGAGCUCCUCGUGAGAAGCUCUAUCAAUUAUAUGAAUAAAUUUUACAUACUACAUGGAAGAACAAGGAAAUCGAGGCUUUUUAUACGGGUGUAAAUUAUUUUGUACAAAGUGCAAUCUUGGGUACCUCUUGGAUUCUUUGGACACCACACAGAAAUCAAAGCAGAUUGAGAGGCCAGGUCAUAUGUCAGUCAAUUACAUUUAGUGUAUAUUCAUCCAAGACCAAGUACAACUAUAUCUUAUGGUUAGUGAGUUUGUAUGAUUGAAACUUAUGUGAUUUUUAUUUUUCAACUUAUACUAGAUCAGCGGUAGAUGUUCUAUCUAGAAUCUAGCAUGAGAGUACAUUAAUAUUUUGUCUGUAUUUCUGAACAUGACCAUCUUAAAAGGAAAUGUACAAUGGAAUUUAGUAUUAGAAAAGAUUGAUAAUACAUGUGUUGUCUUCCUUUCCUUCAUGAUAAUGGUAAUUUUCUUAAUAUCGUGCUCUACUUCCAGAUUACUUUUUUUUCCUCAUUGAAGUUACUUUGUUCAGUCAUUUAUAGCUGAAUAUUGUAGGUAUAUCGAAUGGGUUAAUCUGUCAUUCUACUACAGCCUAGAUUAGAAUAAGCAUAACUGUAUAAGUCCUUAAAAUUUUGUGUGUUGGUUUACUGUUUGUUUAAAAAUAACUUAAAUCUUAAAUGUUUUCGUGCCUUAGGAAGGUAAAUACAUUAUGUGGCUACAUUUGAGUUAUUUGUUCGAACCAAGCUGGGGCUAAAAAAUUGUGGAAAGGAAUGCAUUCACCAUCACAUUUCUUUUUGCACCACUAAUCAUUUGUAACAAUUUCAAGCAGGAGACUAGCUCUGACCAUCAUAUCAUAUUCUUGGUGCUCUAACUUUGAAUUUAUUUUCUCUGAAGUUUGGUUGGUUUUUGCUCUUAUGAGCCGCAGGUAAAGUAAGACGAAUGUAAGCAGGUACAGCUGCGUACAACAGAAAUCCAGGUUUUUUCAGGUUUGCUAAGUCCCUUUUUCUUUUCUUAUUACAUUUCCCAACAUACGUUGCUCUUUUCCCGUUGUUCAUAUUAUUUAUUGCUGCCAAUUUAUAUUGAUUUAGUAGCAUAUUUUUUACUGUACAACCGGCGGCCAUAAGGCAAUAUUUGUUCAUCCCGGCGUCUAUUCAGUUUGGACUGUGGCGGUCUAGCCAAUCCCAAGUGGCAAAAACCAACCAAUCUGAAGUUACUGGGCUAUUUUUACAGUUGACAUAGUCUAUAGGAUGACAAUGAACUUGCAAUUUCUAUGUGCAAUAUAGCUCCUUUUUCCUCUGAUGAUUGGUCCCUGACAAAGGCUAUUUUUACAGUUGACAUAGUCUAUAGGAUGGCAAUGAACUUGCAAUUUCUAUGUGCAAUAUAGCUCCUUUUUCCUCUUAUGAUUGGUCCCUGACGAAGGUGUUGUGCACAUCACCGUUGAAUCAAAGUACCACAUUUGACACCAAUAGAGAUUUAAUUGCUUCAGGUUAGCUUCUACAUGGCUUAUAUUAUGUAGAUACUUCAGUUUAAAAAUUAUAUACCUCGCUAUGGAAUGGGGACCGCAGGUGCUUAGUCUGUUUCCAGAUCCUUUUGUCGCGCUGACUUCCGCCCAUCUCCAACAUAGAAACAAGUGAGUGAGAUGUGAUGGUGGAUGCUAUUUGCUUAUUUAAAGAAGAAUCAUGACACUUCGCCAAUUUGCAUCGUUCUCAUGUGGUAUUCAUGCUUAUGUCGGUCAUAUAAUAAAAUAUCUCGAAACGUCCUUUCCAUUAUCAGGAGCUAAAAGGGAAAUGCUACAAAAGCUAAAUAUGACAUUCAGUUUAAUUUUGAGUAGAUAUUUAUUUUCUUAGUUUUUAUUCUAUCCAAAGUAAUAUUUUGAUACUUACAUUAUUAUCAGUUUUCAUGUUGCAAUUCAAAGUCUGGUUUUAUUUGGAGCGGGGCGCCGCCCAUCGAGAUUGAGCGUCAUCGGCAGGUUCAGAGAGGGAAGAUUGAGAGAAUGUGGAAAUAAGAGAAAAAUAAAUAUGGGAUGACCAUGAAGAACAAAAUGUAGAAAAAUUACUUAGCCUAUUACCUGGUCCAGUUUCACAUAACGCAUUAAAAAAUGUACUGCCAACUAGACCAUUUGAUUAUCUAGACGUUCUUUUGUAUUCCUACCCUGUUCAUACUCCAGUAAUCAUAUGUAAAUGCACCGGCACACUAUGCUCAUUUUGGAUGAAAUCUACAAAGAUCAUAUAGGCAGAGAGGUCUAACUGGGGUAUCUUUGAACCAAUCGCCCUGAAGGAGUUGUUCCCAGAUCACCCAUGCACUUGCAACUAACCAGUAUAAAUUCUCUUUUGCAGCAAUUAAAAGUCAACAAAUCCACUGGAGCAUCCCUUCCUCUUUUGGGCAGAAUAAAGUACUUCAUGGCCAUCUCUAUCGCCUUUUCCCAUAAUUACUUGAGUUUAUGGUCAUGCAAAUCUGCUCAGAAUUUAGUUAUGGUUGAAGGAGUACUUGGUUCGAACAAUUCAUUGCUAUGACUGUGCAGUGUUCAGUUGAAUAUAAUGGAUGCUAGAGAUGGAUCAAAGGAAUGUGCAUUCAGCAGAGAGUGGCCCUACUCGGUAGUGCAUCUACCAAAUAAUCAUAUCGCUGCCGCGGCGUGCUGCCGUGAACACCACUGCCACAAGGCCUUUGAGGAUGUCUGCAUCACCUCACGGGAGGCACAAAUUGUUCAUACACUGCACUAGAUCUUUUGUAAUCGGAGGCACAGAUAGUCUGCAUUGUAUGUUUUCUUUGCCUAUGUAUUACACUAUGUAAUGGGAACAUGUUGCACUGCUGAAUAGAGCUAGCUUGGCAACUUUGCAGUUUGUUUCCAGUUAUAAUAUCUAAAUGAUGGAAUGGCA